rnacentral:rRNA from 1 species
UGAUGAAGGUUUUCGGAUCGUAAAANUNUGUUGUUNGGGAAGAACAAGUNCCGUUCGAAUAGGGNGGUNCCUUGACGGUACCUAACCAGAAAGCCACGGNUAANUNCGUGCCAGCAGCCGCGGUAAUACGUAGGUGGCAAGCGUUGUCCGGAAUUNUUGGGCGUAAAGCGCGCGCAGGCGGUUUCUUAAGUNUGAUGUGAAAGCCCCCGGNUCANCCGGGGAGGGUCAUUGGAAACUGGGGAACUUGAGUGCAGAAGAGGANAGUGGAAUUCCACGUGUAGCGGUGAAAUGCGUANAGAUGUGGAGGAACACCAGUGGCNAAGGCNACUCUCUGGUCUGUAACUGACGCUGAGGCGCGAAAGCGUGGGGAGCGAACAGGAUUANAUACCCNGG